GAUGAACGCUAGCUACAGGCUUAACACAUGCAAGUCGAGGGGCAGCACAGAGAUAGCUUGCUAUCUUGGGUGGCGACCCGCGCACGGGUGCGUAACGCGUAUUGAACCUGCUCUAUACUCAGGGAUAGCCUUGCGAAAGUAAGAUUAAUACCGGCUGUUGUUAUUUAUUCGCAUGAUUAUUUAACUAAAUAUGUAUUGAUAUAGGAUGGAGAUGCGUGGCACUAGGUAGUUGGCGGGGUAACGGCCCACCUACCCGACGAUGCCUAGGGGUUCUGAGAGGAAGGUCCCCCACAAUGGAACUGAGACACGGUCCAGACUCCUACGGGAGGCAGCAGUGAGGAAUAUUGGUCAAUGGACGAGAGACUGAACCAGCCAAGUAGCGUGCAGGAUGACGGCCCUCUGGGUUGUAAACUGCUUUUAGUUGGGAAUAAAAAGAGGGACGUGUCCCUUAUUGUAUGUACCAUCAGAAAAAGGACCGGCUAAUUCCGUGCCAGCAGCCGCUGUAAUAC
rnacentral:rRNA from 1 species